UGCCCAGCUACACCGUGGCUUGUAACUGACAUUGAAUCACUUCAAUAACAAAAAGGAAAUGACCUCAAGUGAUUGUUACACUGAGAAUGACAGAUAUGCUGCAGCAUGGAGGAAUCUGCACGAUCUGCUGGCCUUCAAGAUUAGUCAUGCUUUGUGCUAGAUGAAUAAGGAUGCUGGAAAUUUGCUUGCAUUACCAUCAAGUCCCUCUUUGUUUUUAGCCACUGUUGUUGGAUUCUGAGAAGUCCAAAGUGCCAUUGCUCAAGACUUAGAUCACCAAAAGACAUGGAGAACCUUACCUGGACUGCAUACACCUGCAUUAGAGUGUAAAAUGGAAGAUCGCAUUUUACAGGUUAUCAAUAAGGGUCCCUGGAGGAAAGUCUGCAGGAGAGGACCCAUCACUGCUGGGCCAUGGUUUGCAGAGUACUCCCUGUCAGGCAGCACUGUGACCACCAUGAAGCAGGACAUGCCAGGCAUGAGGGAAUAGGGUGACUGACAGCAAAGUACCCACAUGUCUGCUGGGGAGAGACGCAGCAUAUCUGUGGUUUUUCAGUACCAAAAGUGUAAGAAGAUGAUGGGACUGGGAUAAGAACUGAAGAUACAUUUGAUCAGAAAAAAAUUACGAAGAUUUCAGAGUUUACAAAGAAAAUGCAGUGCUUUUCUUGGCCCUAUCGACUAAACUGUUUCCAAUAAGAAGACUUCUGCAGCCACAACCAACUCCACAGCAACUGUCUGUGCAUGUUCAAAAAUCUUAACAUGUGAGCAUCUUGGCAGAAAGGAGUCUACCCGAACUCAAGGAUAUGUAGAGCUUUGCAAAGUAGAGCAGAAUCAAAUGGGAGAAGAGCAUGUUACGUAUUUUUGUGUGCACCUAACUGAAACUUUGGAUUAUGAUUGUAUCUAGGGCAAGCACAAGAGAAACAUGGUUAUCUUACCUGCUGUGUGCUGUAUUACUGUGAUCACCGUACUGUAAAUGACCAAUUUUUCUUUUCAAUAUUAUCCCUAUAGUCAGUCACAAAAAAAAAAACCAAAAAAACGUUUUGCCUUAUCUUCUACUGAAAGUCAUGCAAUAUCUAUAUGAUUCAGCUUAAGGUAAUCAGAGUAUAUACAUUAGUGUAUGCAUUGGUAUGUAUUGUGAUAUAUAAUAAACAUCUGAUAUAAGUAGACUGUUGGCCUCUGUAUUUAAUAAAGGCAUGAAAAUACCAAAGUUUGCUUAUCUUUUUCUCAGUGUUCUGAUCUAGAUAAUUAUAUAACACUGCACGUCACCAGCAGAGCACUUUAUAAAUGGCCAGAAGUCAGCCAAACGGACCUAGCUGAAAAAUGUAUGUAUUUUCCCUUCCUUGUCAAAGGACAAGUUCUGUAUGGGCUGUGCUUUGACUGUGUGAUGGGCUGAGUUCAACCCAGCUCAAGGGUGCCUGGCUAGCUAGGGUUCCAACCCCAUGCUGGAUGCCACACAGAGGGCUGUAGCAGCAUGACCAUGGCCAGGUGCAAGGAGCCCAGCCAGCCUCUUGCUCCCUCCUCAUCUCCAUUGGUCUGCGACUGAUUAAAAUAGAGUUUGGUGGUGAGAAACAAAGAUGUUCUGAAAUCCAGUGUAUAGUUUCUAUUAAGUUUCUUAGUGUAAAAUCUAACACUACUUAAACCCUUUUUGUGAGCUCUGCGGAAGUCUUGUUAUGUCUAAAGUAUGAAGAAAAACCUUCACCAGUUUCAGAUGAAAGAUUUAAUUCAAGUUGGAUACUUUUUAAAAUGACUUUCCCUGUUUGUCUCCCUGACCCUAAGAUAUUUAGUCAUUUAUAUUAAAUGAACUUUUCUGUUAACUUCUGUUUCAAACCAGCACUACACUGUCAGACUGUGAAUAUGAAGUAUUAUCAUCUUGGCCACUACAUGAUAUUGCAAUUAAAGUCCUCUUCAGCCGUUAGUUGCUUUUUCUGAUCAAAUGGGAACAUGGCAUUUCAGAGGCUGUUCACUCCCCAGAUCACUUCCGCCAUGUGCUUUCUCUAAUGCUACAUUAAAUCAGAAGCAGAGCAGGAAAAGUUUUCCCUCUGGCCUAAUUUGAAGGUUGGUCUCAGCUUCAGUGAACUUCCAGAGGCUUGGAAGAAGUUUUGGCUGAAUUUGGGCCUGUCACAGAGUUAUCUCUAGAUCAGUCUGUGUCUGUGACGGGGACAGCAGACCCAACAGCUGGAGGAACAAAAAAAAGGUAGAAAAAAGGGAGGACCAGGGGGCUGUCAAUGGUUUACAGGCUUGUUUGGCCUAGUUCUGACUAAUGGGGCAGGUUCUAACAGACCCACACCCUGAGAAAGGGGAAGGAGGAAAAGGAAAAUGGUAAGCAGAUGAGAGAUGGGCCUAAAAACAGAAGAGCGUGUUCUGUCUACUUAGGGUUUUAUUAGAUAAAAAUUCUCUCAGUGCACAUUUUGCAACAGAUCUUAAAUGCCUGAGAGGGAUACAGAAGAGAAUAAAAGCUUGAAAAUGUGGAAAGGUGAGCAUGCAAAUCAAAAGAACUUGGGAAAUAGAUGCUCAUAAAUUCACGUCCUAUACUUCACACCAGUGCUUCAGCUGUUCAGCUGUUUGUGUGUAUGCACAUUAGACAUCUAGAAUGGCACUCUCAGAAAACUAAUAGAAAACUUGCCUAAAAAUUUGAUAGGCACACAAAGAGGAAUGACUGUGAAGUCCUUAAUACCUAGAUAAUUAUCUGAUUUCUCACUGAAGUAUUACAAAGUGUUAUUCCACACUGAACACCUAGAUGGCAGCUCUUAACUUAAAUACGUUGCUCAAUCAAGCCUUUAGUCUACAGGUUCUUGGUGGCUCCUCUGCUUCUGUUGAGGUUCAUUUGUACAAAAGAGAACAUAAGAUUUACAGAGUCACAAGAGGAAUAAAAAUUAUAUAGUUAGGACAUUAGUUAAGGCUGCCUAAACAGAAGAUGUUGUUUCCUACACUACUUUUAUAUAAUAUUUAAAAUUCAAUGGACAGUGUAUAAAAAUAGACACUUUCUUGGGGAGGAGAACUGGAAGACUCCAAAAUACUCAUUUUUCAAAGAAAUGCCUUAAAUAUUUGAGCUACAGUCAUGUUCCUUUGUGUGGUCAAACUCAUUCAGCUUUGAAUUAUUUUAAAAUACUUCAGUAUUAAUAUUUCUUCUUUCACCAUCAUCUUCUGAAUAACAGGCUAUGACAUUCAGAUUAGAACAGUCUGUUGAAUGCAACUCCAAGCACCUGAGAGAGAGGAGAUAUACCAAAACUGGGACUCUCCUUUUCUGUUUAAGUCUCUUGUACAUGAGCUAGAUAUCAAACAAUAAGCAGUAAGGUGUUGGAACUAGGUUAUCUUUAAAGUCUCUUCCAAUCCAAGCCAUUCUAUGACAGCACCCUGCUCAAGGCACGAUGACAGGCUCAUAAGAAGCAUUAUUGUCAUAAAGGGAAGUUGAAUGGUCCUACUGUGGAAAAAAUGGUUUGUAGUCUCUUGUCUCAUUACACUGCGGUCAGAAAAGCCAUGCUUUUCUCAAGUCAUUUCUCAACUUUUAUUUCUAGGAUACAGGCUGUUUCUUCUCUCUGAAAGAGACAGUACCAGUGAGAAUGUAGCAAUUUACUUAAGUGGCAAAUAGUGGGUUUGAUGGAGGACACAGCUGAAAGUAAUGUUAAUUAAGCUCAAUCUCCUAUUGGAGGGGGCUUUGACCAACAUGGUUUAGUGCAGAUGUCCUGACCUGUAGCUGGAGUGUUGGAACUAGAUGAUUAUGAGAGCCUCUUCCAACCCAUACCAUUUUGUGAUCAUUUUAUUGUAUGUAAAUAAAUUGUCUGGGUAAGCAUAUCUUUUGAGGAAGAAGUUUUCUUGAAAAUAAGAAUAAAAGCUAUUUUGAUGAAGACUAGAGAUUUAGCAUAAGUAUUUUCUUUAUUAGUGAGGAAGAAAAUGAAGAGUACGUGGUGAAUUAUUGUUAUUUUGUGAUUUCUUUUUGUCUGUUUUGUAUGUUUUCGAAGGUAUUUUUUUAUUUACUUGAAAACUCACCUUGCUGGGGAGGGAGUAAGAAACUCUUCAGGAAAGUGGAGUAUACAGAACCACUAUAAGGAAUGUGUGUAGAAAAAUAUGUUGCUUUUAUUAUCAGAGUUCUGCUAUUUAGAAAAGUAAAAUGUAAUAUAUUUCUUGCUUUUGCAUAUAAAACAUCUAGUGUGCCUUAAAAUAGCUAAGGGUAUACACGAGGAAAAUACUCUUUCCUUAUUUUACUGGAAGUCAUGCUGUUUCAUGUGGGACAAUUGAAGAGAACUGUUGUUAUUUCUAUUGUCAAGAUUGUAAAUGUUUUUGGAAUAGCAAUCAUAGAAUCAACAGAUGUGAUCAGUGUUUUUCUUCUGAGUUAAAUACUUCUGAACUCAACUGUGUGGAGUCUGUUUGUUUGUGUUGUGUUGGUGGUUUGGUUUUUUUUU